UGUAUGGACUGACAGCACAGAGACCAGCAUUGGUGUGUAUGGACUGACAUAACAGUGUGAUAACACCAAUGUCAGUCUGUACCCACUGAUAUAACAUCAUAAUAACACCAACAUCAGUGUGUAUGGACUGAUAUAACGCUGUGAUAACACCAAUGUCAGUCUGUACCCACUGAUAUAACAUCAUAAUAACACCAACAUCAGUGUGUAUGGACUGCUAUAAUGCUGUGAUAACACCAGUGUCAGUCUGUGCCCAUUGAAUAACACCGUGAUAACACCAACAUCAGUGUGUAUGGACUGAUAUAACACCGUGAUACCACCAACGUCAGUCUGUAUGGACUGACAGCACAGAGACACC
rnacentral:lncRNA from 1 species